rnacentral:tRNA from 1 species
GUGAGCGCAGGGGCCGAGCAGAACGAUUUGUCAGCUGCACCCGGAGAAUGUCUGGUCCGCCUCGUCAGGACGCGGGUUCGAUUCCCGCCACCUCCACCA